rnacentral:rRNA from 1 species
GGGGAAUCUUGCGCAAUGGGCGAAAGCCUGACGCAGCAACGCCGCGUGAGUGAUGAAGGUCUUCGGAUCGUAAAGCUCUGUCGGCAGGAAAGACGGGGAGCAUGGCCAAUAUCCAUGUUCUUUGACGGUACCUGCAAAGGAAGCACCGGCUAACUCUGUGCCAGCAGCCGCGGUAAGACAGAGGGUGCAAGCGUUGUUCGGAAUUAUUGGGCGUAAAGGGCGCGUAGGCGGCGCUGUAAGUCAGGUGUGAAAUCCCAGGGCUCAACCCUGGAAGUGCGCCUGAUACUGCAGUGCUUGAGUCUCGGAGAGGGUAGUGGAAUUCCCAGUGUAGAGGUGAAAUUCGUAGAUAUUGGGAGGAAUACCGGUGGCGAAGGCGACUACCUGGACGAAGACUGACGCUGAGGCGCGAAAGCGUGGGGAGCAAAC